UGAACUUAAUGUGGCAGGAUAAGUCUUUUAUUGGCUGGUUGAUGUACAGUUGGUUCACCAAUCAAAUGAUAGCGACAGCACUAGCAUCUCAUUGGUUGGUGGGGUUAAAGUUCAUAUACCAAUGAAACGAUAGUAUCUAUACUAUUUAAGGACCUUUAUUAUGGCAGGUGGGUAUGUUUGUGACCUGGGGUGCUUCUCUCUCUCCCUGGCAUUUCCGUUUCCGUUUUGAUUCCUUCCUCAGGUAUGUUUGGCUGUUUGUUGGCGGUGUAACAAUGUGCAUGUUGCGAGUCUAAUAUGCGCUAUUUAUAGUUUCAUUUAGAGCGCGUCUGGUGGCGUUGGCAGUGCGGCAACUCGCGGCGUAUUUCGGCUGCAGGGCUGACACAGAUGCAUGGACCAUUUAAACCGUGGAUGCUGUGCAAACAAGUCCUUUCAAUGUGUACUGUGGGGUUCACAAACGGUCAAACCAACAGCUCAGUGGAGGACAGUGCGUCAGCUCAAAGGGUCCCCUCUG
ensembl:lncRNA